UGCUCAGCCUGUGCGCGAGGUGCCCGGCCCCCUUUAUGGUGGCAUCGGGUGAAACUGGGAAGCAGGUUAUUCCUGCGCUGCCCCCGCAACGGUAGGUGCUUUCAUCUUGAUGGAGCACAAGCCCGGAGACCGGCCUCAAGCUUUUUCCACAU
rnacentral:ncRNA from 2 species